AGACACAGUAGCCGCGGUAAUGCGAAGGGUGCAAGCGUUAAUCGGAAUUACUGGGCGUAAAGCGUGCGUAGGCGGUGAGUUAAGUCUGCUGUGAAAUCCCCGGGCUCAACCUGGGAAUGACAGUGGAUACUGGCUCGCUAGAGUGUGUCAGAGGAUGGUGGAAUUCCCGGUGUAGCGGUGAAAUGCGUAGAGAUCGGGAGGAACAUCAGUGGCGAAGGCGGCCAUCUGGGACAACACUGACGCUGAGGCACGAAAGCGUGGGGAGCAAACAGGAUUAGAUACCCCGGUAGUCCCUGUCUCUUAUACA
rnacentral:rRNA from 1 species